CGGACACCAAGAACACACAUGAAAAGCCAUGUGUGGAAAGUAACACUGAGCCUGCCUGACAACUCUUCCCUGAUUGAUUUCAUCUCUUCAGUCAAAUUGAGUCCAGUUGGUUCUCUAUAAAUUCUGGCUAAAGCCCAUAGAAGACAGUAGAACCACCUCAGGAGCCAAAAGAUUCCAGAGCCUGGUUCCCAGCUCCAGCUGAACCUGGCCUCAGGGGAAGAGGCCUGAAAGAAGACUUCAGGAUCCAGUUCCCAGUCAGCUCACUCAGCAGAGAAGAAAUGCUAUGUUACCUUUAAGCCUCACGGGAAAUGCUGGUCCCUGGCAACCAACGCUUCUGCCCUGGACCGUCAGUCCCUAGGACUCAACCAAUGGCUACAGGAAGUGGGGGGGGGUGAGGGGUAGUCUCAGUCAUCCUCAGCAUCUGAGACACAAAACUUCUGCUUCAGCUGCAGACAGGAAUUAACUCCAGCAGCUGCUUCCAGCCUCCAAAAGUGAUAACAUUCCCCAAGGUUGCCUGGAGAAAUGGCAUGUGCCUUUAAUUCCAACACUGGGUAGAGGCAGAGGGCAGAGGGCAGAGGGCAGAGGGCAGAGGGCAGAGGGCAGAGAGCAGAGAGCAGAGGCAGAGGCAGAUGGAUUUAUGAAUUGGAGGACAUCCUCAUCUGAUAGUGAGUUGUAGGCCAGCCAGCUGUACAUAGUAAGACCCCUAUGUCAAAACAAACAAGCAAGCAGACAACAAUCUAACAAAAACUUCAAACAAAUCACAAAACAUUUCUCAGAGCAAACAUCUCUCAGAGCUUUCAUGGCUCCCAGAAAGCAUCCCACUGCUAACAAGAGUUCAAAUCUGUUUUAUUUAUAUCUUGUGGAGUAAUAUUCAAGUUGUUUCUACCCUGUUUAAAGUUGUUAAUCACAGAUUGAUAAAAACAUAACCCCUGUUUGUAUUUUUGAUGUCUGUGAAUGCCAACCUUGAAGUGGAAAAGAGCCAGGAUGAAGACAAGAUGGUCUCCACUGACCACUGCUAUACUAGUCUAGGAGGCAACUGAACAUUAAUUAUUUAGUUAGACAUUUUCAUUUAUGGCUCUAGUCCCUCUCCCCAGAUUCAAAUUUUUGAGCCCCUUGUAAAUUGAGUGUAAGUCUCAGCUACAAUAUGACCUCUGUCUUCAUGAAGUUUUUGACCUUUCUGGAGGAAGUGAAACAUGUAAAUAAAAAUUUAAAGUAUGAUAAAGGAAAAACAGACACUCUUUUUUGGGGAAAUAAUGCACACACAGAGAAAAGUACUGGUGAAACACCAGCUGUAUAAAGGUAAAAAGGCAGUAACAGUAACUGUGAGGUUGGUAGAACAGGAUGUCAGUAACACCACCAGGGAAAAAAAAGCAUGACAAGAAGGAGAUGAGACCAGUUUCUGUUUCAUUCAAGAAAGCACAAGUGAAUCAAUACACUCUUGCAAGAGCAAGAAUAAUCUAUAUUGUAGGCUGUAGGGCAUCUUGACUCAAUAGCUGAUUAGUCUAAAGCAGCAUUGUUAUUUUUCUCUGAAGCAAUGUCACCAGUGACACCCGAGUUUGCUUGAUGAAGAUAAAGGAAGCAAAAUAAGAGGAAAUGGAAGCAAUGCCAGAUGAAUGGAGGGGACAUCAUUUAGGAAUAACUCUUAGCCCAUUAAUUGUUGAACUGAGUCACCUCCACCUACCCAGGUGACUUUUAUCAGGCUAAUAGAUAUGAAUGUGUCUUUCUUUAGAUUGCACAAGACAAAAGGUCAUGAUUAUGAGCAUGCUACUGAAAGGUAGAAUGAGGUUUACUUUUUUUUUAAGUAAGGCACUACUGCAAUAGAUAACACAGCAAAGGAUCUCUUUCUUCUGUUAUCAAAUGUUCAGGAAUGUAUAUCUACUUUCUUGGUCAUUCACUGAAUCCUAAACGCGCCCAGCAGGAGUGGGUUUGCUGUGGUGUGAGGGUGUACACCAGAAUAGGGUCCAUGAAUUUAAAAGUCAGAAGAAGGGCACAGGAAAUUCAAUAGACUUUAAGUAGUUCUACAAAAUAGAUGUUACUAGUCGUUUAGAGCUUUUUAUAUCAUCUGAAGAUCAAGUAUAAAAAGAUGCCAAGGUAGCCUCUCCUCGGUUGCUGAGAUAGUUAGCUGGUGUCAUCUUUGUAUAUCUCCAGACAUUUCCCUAGUGCCUGAUUUCUCUGUAAACCAAAAGUGUCUUCCUCUAUUAUGAUAUCUCCAUUCUUGUUAUCUUGUAUUCUUCCCCUGACUCAUACUUUCUGCUCCCUCAUGUCCUCAGCAUCCCUCUUCUCCCCUUCUCAUUCUCCUAGCUCCCUCUCCCCUGAUUAUGAGAUUGAUGAUUGACUUAUAUGCCAUCCUAUAGCCUUCAUCCAGCAGCUGGUGGAAGUAGAAGCAGACACCCAUAACUAGUCACCAAAAUGAACUGGAACCCAGAUGCAAAGAAGGACCAGUGAAGAGUACAGAUGUCCAGACCAGGCUGGUGAAACACACAGAAACAGCUGACCUGAACAUCCAGGAACUCUUGCUCACCAGUCUGAUAGCUGGAAUACCAGCAUGGGACUGAUCCAGACCCCGGGAACAUGGGUUUCUGUGAGGAAACCUCAGAAAUCUAUGGGACCUCCUGAAGAAGCCCAGUAUUUAUCCCUAGCAUAGGUGUGGACUUUGGGAGCCCAUUCCAUAUAGAGGAAUACUCCCUGAGCCAAGACACACGGUGGUGGGCCUAGGCCCUAUCCCAAAGGAUACGAAAGACUCUGAUGACACCCAUGGAAGGCCUCACCUUCCAGGGGGAGCAGAAAAGAUACAUGUGACAGAUAAGGUUUUAGUUGGUUGGGGUAGGGAAGGACGGGUGGGAGAAGGGAACUGGGAUUGUCAUGUAAAAUGAUUCUGUUUCUAAUUCAAAUAAAAAAGUUGGAAAAAAAGAAAUGUAGCAAUAAAAUGACUCCUAAUUGUCAAAUUUCAAAAAAAAAAAAAAAUGCCAAGCUACCCAAAUAGGAUGCCUUCAUCAAACUCCUCCCUUCAGGGCUCAGAGUUCUAUACAGAAGAGAAGGAAGAAUAGUAAGAGCCAGAGGUGAUGGAUGACUCCAAAGAAACCCUGUCUUCCUGAUACAACAGGACUGAUUCACACAUGUACUCGGAGACUGAAAGCACACACAGGACAUGCAGAGGUUCAAACCAGAUGGAGUCCCGGAGCUGAGAGAGCCAAGUGGACACUGGCUCCCAUUCCUUACUAAGAAGCUAUCUGAAACUUGUACCUACUUGCAAAGGAAAAAUUAGUUUCCUCCAGUAGAGUCUCACUGGGUAUAUUAACCACACUUCAGGGUAGGCCCCAUGCCUAGGAGUAGCUGGCCAACACAAAACAAACUCAAUGGUAUUUUUGCAGAUUACACCAUUUCAAGUAUAAAAACCAUUAGCUCGAGGGCUGUAUAAAACGACAUCUCAGGGUGGGCAAUAUGGCCCUGUGGGGUAAAGGCACUUCCACCAAGUUUGACGAUCCAAGUUUGAUGCCCAGGACUCACAUGGUGGAAGGAAACUACAGGAAGUUGUUCUCUGACCUCCACAUGAGUGCUGAGCGCAGUGCUAGGUACUAAGUAGGUGAUGAGAAAUGAGACGAUAGAGACACUGAUUCUAAGUUUUGACCUAGCAGGAGAAAUAGAGUGGUUUACCAGGAAAGGCAGGCCUGGUUCCAUUGCCUGGCCAGCAGCACCAGCGGUGGCCCACUGUACAAGCUCCUAGGCAUCAGUCCCAGGAAAUGAUCCUUCAGGCGCUAGGGCUACAUCCAGGGCGCCACACCCACAGGUAUGUCCCGCUGCAGGAGUGCUGUGUGGUUUGGCUCUCAUCCUGCCCCUUUGGGCCAAUCCCGGGUUCGCUGGAACUCACCUGCUCUGCAGGUGCGCCCAGCCGAGGC
ensembl:lncRNA